UUGGCUGGUGUGUGUUUGAUUGACUGUACUGCGAUUAUUAGUUAUUACAGUUUAUAUGAUUUUUGAUAAUGAACAACAUAAUUAUUUGCAUAUUUGUUAUGGUUGGUAAGGCACUGCUGUUUUGGCAGGACGUCAUAUAUUCUCUUUCUUUCUAUUUUUUUUUGGGAAAUAAACAGGAGUUGGUUGUUCUAAAAUUUGUUUUCUUUGGAAUAUAAUACAGUAUAUGCUUGUAUUCUUAUGCAGAGAUCUUUCAGGCAUGACAGAAUCGUGGAAGGUCUUAAUGUUACUGAAGAAAUGUUGAUCUAAAAUAGCAUGAUUAUGUAGUUUUAAUAUAAUAACUGUAAUCAUAAAGAUUUAUAUAUGAUCUAAUGGUUUAAUAUAGUUGUAUGUAGUUGUCUAGUGGAUUAAUUAGAGAAAAUAUUAUCAAAGAAAGUUAAGUAUAGUUAUUUUCUUCUAAUUGUUUCUGUAUAAUCUUUCUAAUUUCAGAAAAUUAAGGAUGGGACUUGAGAAGCUAGCUUGCAAGUUAUGAUUAAACGAGUUUCAAAGAUCUUUCAGGCAUGACAGAAUCGUGGAAGGUCUUAAUGUUACUGAAGAAAUGUUGAACCCUAACUCAGUGGCGAGGCAGAUAAGCGACCAAAUUUCGCUUGCAUAAGCUUUUGUUGUGAUCCAUAAACUCUGUAUUCCUUAUUGCUCAAAUGGUUUUGAUUGUUCUAGUGCUGAGAUUUUUAAUUGUAUGUUAUAGCAGUUACUUGAUUUUCUAGUACCAUGAUUCUUAGUCCCACUAAAGAUUUAUUGGUCUAAAUCUAUUACUAAUUUCUAGUACUUUAGUUUCA